rnacentral:tRNA from 1 species
GCACCCGUAGCUCAGUGGAUAGAGCAGCGGUUUUCUAAACCGUUGGUCCCUGGUUCGAACCCAGGCGGGUGCG